CUCACAUGAUCAAGACCAGAGCUCACCGGGUUCUAGAGUAUCUCUCUCACUGACACACCAGAGGAGGAAUUCCAAGUCACCAGGCCCAUAAGAGACCCCAAGAAGAUGGAAUUAGAGUUUUACUGUCCCUACAGUUUCUGGCAAGAGAAUAGGAUCCUAAAAGUCUGGAGUGUUCCCAUUUGCUCUGGAGACUGCAGAUAGGAUCCUGGAAAAACUGCCAAAGCCAGAAAAAGGUAGAAAUUCUUAUCAAAGUGAGCACUACUGGAGUUCAUUCUGGAAUGCCUGAUUGUGAGAGGAAGAGUUCCUUCUUGGUCCGGUGGCAUCAACACCGCAAGCCCAGGCCCACCUCUCCUCGCCAAUGAUGCAGUAGGAUUUCCCGCCUAAAGUGAAGACCAAUCAGAAGGAUUGCUUUGCCAUUCAAGGAAGAUGGCCCAUCACGAUUGGGGGCUCAGCCCGCGGCCCCGCCCUGGAGCUGUUGGAGCCAAUGGCAGUCAUGCAGAUGAUGAGCCAAUCAGGACCUGGCAUACUGCGUGGCAGUCGGCAGUUGAGCGUGGAGCGUUGAACUGAGAGAAGGUGAGAAGGCAACGUGCUGCUAGGAGGAAGUUAUCAUGCGCGAGUGUAUCUCUAUCCACGUGGGGCAGGCAGGUGUCCAGAUCGGCAAUGCCUGCUGGGAACUGUACUGCCUUGAACAUGGAAUUCAGCCCGAUGGUCAGAUGCCAAGUGACAAAACCAUUGGCGGCGGGGAUG